rnacentral:rRNA from 1 species
AGUGGCGGACGGGUGAGUAAUGCUUGGGAACUUGCCUUUGCGAGGGGGAUAACAGUUGGAAACGACUGCUAAUACCGCAUAAUGUCUUCGGACCAAACGGGGCUUAGGCUCCGGCGCAAAGAGAGGCCCAAGUGAGAUUAGCUAGAUGGUGAGGUAAAGGCUCACCAUGGCGACGAUCUCUAGCUGUUCUGAGAGGAAGAUCAGCCACACUGGGACUGAGACACGGCCCAGACUCCUACGGGAGGCAGCAGUGGGGAAUAUUGCACAAUGGGGGAAACCCUGAUGCAGCCAUGCCGCGUGUGUGAAGAAGGCCUUCGGGUUGUAAAGCACUUUCAGUUGUGAGGAAAAGUUGGUAGUUAAUACCUGCCAGCCGUGACGUUAGCAACAGAAGAAGCACCGGCUAACUCCGUGCCAGCAGCCGCGGUAAUACGGAGGGUGCGAGCGUUAAUCGGAAUUACUGGGCGUAAAGCGCACGCAGGCGGUUUGUUAAGCUAGAUGUGAAAGCCCCGGGCUCAACCUGGGACGGUCAUUUAGAACUGGCAGACUAGAGUCUUGGAGAGGGGAGUGGAAUUCCAGGUGUAGCGGUGAAAUGCGUAGAUAUCUGGAGGAACAUCAGUGGCGAAGGCGACUCCCUGGCCAAAGACUGACGCUCAUGUGCGAAAGUGUGGGUAGCGAACAGGAUUAGAUACCCUGGUAGUCC